rnacentral:tRNA from 1 species
GGGUAUGUGCUUUGAUGCGUUUUGCUCUGCAAAGGCAAAAUAUUGUGUGAAUUUCACUCGUGCCUU